CAAGUGCCAUUCUUAACGGGAUGGCUUUUCAUUAGUGUAAAGAGCUUUUGGAAUAAGGGCUGGGCAAGACCGGUGCCAGCCGCCGCGGUAACACCGGCAGCUCUAGUGGUAGCAGUUUUUAUUGGGCCUAAAGCGUCCGUAGCCGGUUUAAUAAGUCUCUGGUGAAAUCCUGUAGCUUAACUGUGGGAAUUGCUGGAGAUACUAUUAGACUUGAGACCGGGAGAGGUUAGAGGUACUCCCAGGGUAGAGGUGAAAUUCUGUAAUCCUGGGAGGACCGCCUGUUGCGAAGGCGUCUAACUGGAACGGUUCUGACGGUGAGGGACGAAAGUUAGGGGCGCGAACCGGAUUAGAUACCCGGGUAGUCCUAACUGUAAACGAUGCGGACUUGGUGUUGGGGUGGCUUUGAGCUGCUCCAGUGCCGAAGGGAAGCUGUUAAGUCCGCCGCCUGGGAAGUACGGUCGCAA
rnacentral:rRNA from 1 species